rnacentral:rRNA from 1 species
ACCCGCUGAACUUAAGCAUAUCAAUAAGCGGAGGAAAAGAAACCAACAGGGAUUGCCUCAGUAACGGCGAGUGAAGCGGCAAGAGCUCAAAUUUAAAAGCCGACGUAGCUUUAAGAGACGUCCGCAUUGUAAUUUGAAGAGGCAUUCUCGGGUCGGGGCUCAGGCCUAAGUUCCUUGGAAGAGGGCGUCGUGGAGGGUGAGAACCCCGUUCGCGGCCUGCUGUCGACCUUUCCCCGAUCCACACGAGGUGCCAUCGAAGAGUCGAGUUGUUUGGGAAUGCAGCUCAAAGCGGGUGGUAAAUUCCAUCUAAAGCUAAAUAUUGACGGAAGACCGAUAGCGAACAAGUAGAGUGAUCGAAAGAUGAAAAGCACUUUGGAAAGAGAGUUAAACAGCACGUGAAAUUGUUGAAAGGGAAGCGCUUGAGACCAGUCACGGACCGAGGCGAUCAGUGGGACGUCCCUCUCGGGGGAGGAACCGCGCACUCGCUUUUCGGGUUUUCCGGGUCAACAUCGGUUGGGACGGUGUCAGAAAGGUCGCGGGAACGUGGCUCCCUUCACGGGGAGUGUUAUAGCCCGUGGCGUCAAAGUCGCCGGUUUCGACCGAGGACCGCGCUCGUCUUUUUCGAGCAAGGAUGUUGACGUAAUGGUCCC